rnacentral:misc_RNA from 1 species
GAUGAAGAACGUAGCGAAAUGCGAUAAGUGAUGUGAAUUGCAGAAUUCAGUGAAUCAUCGAAUCUUUGAACGCACCUUGCACCCUUUGGCAUUCCGAAGGGUAUGCUCGUUUGAGUGUCAUUGUACUCUCACUCUCCCGAUCUUUGGAUCGGGAGUGGUGGACUUGGGUGUUGCUGCUUUACCGUGGCUCACCUCAAAUGGAUUCGUGCAACUCCUGGUUGGACAUAGUACGGCGUGAUAAGUGUCUUCGCCGGCACCUCACUAGAGGGUGGCUGACCGGGAGCUCUGUGCUUCAAACCGUCUUCGGACAACAACUGACAACUUGACCUCAAAUCGAGUAGGACCACCCGCUGAACUUAAGCAUAUCAAUAAGCGGAGGA